AGGGAGGCUCUUUCUCCGACCCGCUCGGGGUGAGGCGGCCGUGCGCCCAGGGCGCGGCGCGGCGCGGCGCGACGCUGCCGGAGUGCUAGGCUCCGGCUGCAGCCACCGCUGCCUUUGUCUUAGAGGCGCCGAGGGGCUCCAGCCUCGACCUCUCCCGGGCCUGUAAGAACCUCGCGCCCCACUAGCUCUUUCUCCAGCGAAGCCCUGCCCUCACCACCCCAGACAUCCUUCCCCGCGCUCCUCUUUCCCGUCCCCAACCCGGCUCGGCGAAACCUCCCAGUGCCAGAGAAAAAGAAAUCCGCUUCGGAAGCUGAGAUUUCAGACAAAAGCUGCCUGUACCUACAACUCGGAGGCUCCAACCAACCACUGUUUUUUGUUUUGUUUUGUUUUUAACUUUAACACCUAUUGCCUGGGCUUUAAUUCCCCCUCACCCCUUCUCUUUAUUCUCCCGCUCUAAGCUUCUCCCUUGUGAUUAUAUUUAGUGGCGUUAUUUUCGUAUUUAUAUUUCUGUCCGCUGGGCUCUGAUCUGCCGAGAUGGCUCAGCCGCAGCAGCUCUACCAGUGGCUGGAAACCUCACAUCCACAAGCAGGGCUCGCAGCUCGCUCGGCUCCGAGAGGAUUUUUCCCCCUCCCUCCAGCUGAAACCUCGCAGAAAACUCCCCCUGCGGUCGACUGGAAAAUGAGCUCACCCAAAUCUCGGUAGGCAGCCGUGGAGGAGUGCUCGGCCAAUCAGGAGGCGCCCCCGCCCAGGCCGCCGCGCAUUGGCUGCGGGGAAAAUCAAUUAUCAAAUAAUCGAUCAGCAGGGAGCUUCGAUCUGCGGGGAAUGCGAACUGCCAGUCCCUAUUCCCGCCCUGAAGGUGGCCAAAAGGCUGACUCCCUCCAAGCAGCCCGCCCGCGCCUCCAUCGCCCCCACCCACGUCCCACUCGCCAGCUGCGGACUGAACCCUCACCCUCAAGGGGGUGUAGGUAGGGAAAGAGUUUUGAGCAAGAUUGGGGGUAUCCCUUCAUCCGAAGAUUGUUUGGGAAAGGUUAGGAGCUCUAAAAUGUAUUGAAGCCAACUCUUAAGCGCAAAGUAAAAGAUAAUUUGCGUCCGUCUGCGAGGUAGGACUGAAGAUUCUAUAGAGUGGGCUUCCGAGGAGCAGGAGACACAGGGCGAGCAUGAGAACAUAGGUCUGGAAUGAGGUUCCACCGAGCGUCCGUAGUCUCCUUAGGCGACAUCUAUCGCUUCCUUUAGCACUUCGCAGGAGUCAACGCGGGGUUGGUUGCCCCCAACAGUGGAGCGUUUCCAUAAAGCCGAGCAGAUGAGCCUUCCCAGCCGCCUGCACUGCACCCUUCCCCGCCCCCAACUCCGUACUGGCACCCUGUGUGCCUGAAGGGCUGACACACGUUCUCCCAAAACCUUCAGAAGCGCUUUGCCUUGAAAGAGCUCUCCCUCGUGUGUGUGUGUGUGUGUGUGUGUGUGUGUGUGUGUGUGUGUGUGUGUGUGUGUUUAAACCAUCUCCAGGAUCCCUUAUCAUUUGCUUCCUCUCUCCUUUUUCUCUCUGUUUCUCCCUGUCUUUUUUCUGACGCUUAAGUUUCAGGAUCUUUUAGUUUUUUUCCAUCACAUACAUGUGUAGGUUUUCUGGUACAAACGCCCUGAAACAUCACUUGGGAGGUUAAGACAGGCCCGCGAGUAAAAGCUGGGGACGGAGUGGGUGGGCAGCCAGGUGCAUUACCAGCGCCUUUAUGCCUCUGCCUACACUUCCCGGCCUCCCCCCAUCCCCCCACCCCCCCACCCCACGCCUCACCGUCGCUCCCCGGCCCCACAACAUGAACUUGGAAGCAGAAUUUCAGGCCAAGAUGGAACCUCCCCGUCUCAGGAAGGCGAUUUCUGUUUAAUCCUUGGGAGGCUGCGCUGGCUGGGCCAGGCAGCACGCUCCUUUUCCGAUUAGGGAAAGGACUAAGCUGGGCCGGCAGUCUGCGACCCCUUCCCGGAACCCCAGCCGACUUCGGGGUAUACCUGAGCGCCUUCCGAUGGCUGCUCGCGGGGGUGUGAUCAUCGUCCCCGCAUCAGGCCCGCCAGGCAUCUGCGCGACUCGGGGCCUCAGGGGUUCUUCGGCAAAGAGGUAACGGGGCUUGGAUUUACCACAACUCUGCGGCCACGUUUUCAAAUUUGGAAAAGAUGAGAAAAGAAGGUUCAGGCGAUUUAUGCGAGAAAGGGCCAAUUUGAACACUGGUAACUAGUGGGAGAAAUAAACUUAUAAGCCACAAACACAUCGGUUCGCAACCGAGCCCACAGCCCCGCGAGGCGCCCCUUCUUCCCAGCUCCCGGAGGAUAACUUCAUUGACUGGCAGGUCGGCGGCCACUUCUGGGAGGGCCACUGUUUACCGAAUGAGAACCUCUCAUGGCACAGUCCUUACAGCAGGGCUGCCCUGUCGCCCUUGCGCGUCCGGGUGCCGGGUCCCGGCGGUGUUCUGCAGCGCGAUCCGGUCCCCGUGCCCUGAGCCACCCAGAGCCCUGGGCCUGCCUGCACCCUGGGGCGCGCUGACUCCCUGGGUCGGGUGGGGGUCCCGGCAGGAUGCACUUCCAGCUGCGGGGUCCGCGGAGUUUGCUCGCACCUGGUUUGGCGCAGGGACGUAGGUUUGGGGGACUGUGUCCCCUGGGAAGAGCAAAAGGUGAAAAGGUCCCCUCUCCCACCAGUGUGCCCCAUCCCCGCCAGUUUUGACUGCGAUCCUAUUUUUCUCUUUGGGGGUCGCCUCAGCCUGUGCCGGAGGGAGUUGGGAGUUGGUCAGGCUUGGGCAGCGGUGGGUGGCAGCCCGGGAGCCGGAGCAGGAGCGCGAGGACCCGCGGACUGGGGCGCAGCGACGAUGGCGCACCGGCUUCUGUCUUCUGCUGCUUUGGGGCUGAGCAUCCGAGGGCGCCUUUCUCCCCAGCUGGACUCGGGGACGCCGGAUCACCCCGCCACCUGCCUCUUGGCCUAAUUCUGGAAGCUUCUCGCCUCCGUUCCUGGACGGCUCUUCCUCAGGGGCAGCAAUGAGCCCCGGGGUGCGCUCAUCUCCUCCGAGAUCAAUUGCUCUACGAUUCCUUUUAGGACUUGCAGGGGGGAGAGGUUGGGGACCCCGGCCCCAGAGUGGCUCCUGCGGCACGGCGGCCCACUCGGAGGGGUCGCAACAAGCGCGCAUUUGUGGCCAAGGUUGUGAUUUCAGGUGCGCUAAUGGGAUCAGACGUCCUGGGAGAAGCGUGAGGGGAUUGGUGCCGUUCCUUCUCCCGGCUUCCAGCGGCCGCCGGGUGGAAGUGGGGACACAGGAGGGCCGCGCUACGGGCGCCCAGCGCGGGCGCUCACACCUCUUGAGGAGGCGUGGAACCCAGCGCCCCAGGUGGGGGUAGGGCGCGGGGGUAUAGGUAGUGAGGGGUGACGCUGGGAGAGGACCGGGAGACGGAGGAAAGGAGACAGCCGGGGACACUACUGAGAGAGGGAGUAAGAGAGUGCGCUGCAGAACCGGGGACAGAGCGGCAGAACCGACCGAGAGCUGGAAUUGGAUUGCGUCCUGUCCCAGCACCAGGACACAGAUAAACAGCCUCCCAGCACUGGUACUCGCCAGAGAAGGGGAAACCCGCGUCCCGCGCUGCUGCUUUCUGCUUCGGAGAACCUUAUCUAGACUUUUGCAUAAUUGCGUGUUGGCUUUCCUAAAUAAUUCGGAAGAGCGAUUUCUGCUUCCACUUGUUCACAUAGGCAAACAAUCCCUGUGGGGAAAAUGUGUGUGUGUGUGUGUGUGUGUGCGCGCGCGCGCGCGCGCGUUCCGGUGACAAUUGAGGCCAGAGGCAAACACAUCCUCUUUCAAAAUGUCCCUUAGGUGAUCCCGUAAAUGACUGUCCUGCUCUAGGCAGUGGGAGUCAUCAUCCACUGGGUAGGGGGCUGUGAUUACUCUGCCUAGGGACCACUUUUCACAGCUCCUUCCCCACCGUAGAUAAGGGUGUUAAAUCAAGGCAUUUAGUUCUACUUUUCCAUUGCACAGAUAAGCAAGCUGAGACCCAGAUAGGUUAAGUGAAGUAUCCAAUUUCUUCUCUCCUUUUCUUUUCUGUAUGCCUCAAGAUGGUUUUAUACACACACACACACACACACAUACAUACACACACACACACACCCUGAACUACGAAAAACAUCACAACUACGGAAGAAACAUUUUUUACUCUUCUUAUUUCCUAAGAAGACCAAAAGUCAGAGCUUGUCUUCUGUCAGAAGCAGAUGGGUGUGUGAUGGCAGUGUGUGAGUGUGCAAGUGUGGGGGGGCUGGGCGUUGGCGCCAUCCUUCCUCCUUCCCUGCUCCAUCCCUGACUCCAUCACCGAGCCCCUUCAGGGAAACACAAGGCAGGAGGUUGUACCGCUAUGCAGAAGACCCCUCCAGGUAGGGAGCUUGAAGAAAUGAAACAGCAGGGAGAACCUGUAUUUGGUGGUGAAAGUGCUGGAAUCUUCUAGGCCUUGCUCAUCUCCAACCAGCUACUUCUCCAAAAUAAAGCAAAACAAAACAAAACAAAACAAGGCAAACAACAACCACCACAGGCCUUUUGCAUCAACUUCCUGUGACUAAGUGACCCUAAGCAGAGAACUGGCUCAGGUCACUUAGGGCAGGGGUAGGACAUUGAAGGCCUUAUUUACUCCAGGAUUAAAAACAGCAUCCCCUCUAACCCUGUCUCUCUUGGGCAGCCUGUCUUUUAAGGAUGUGAAAAGCAGCUUCUUGGAGUCUAAACAGGCACAAUACCCCACUGGGAUGUUUAGGUAUCAGGUUCACAAAAACAGCAUUUUACUCCUGCUUCCCCGAACCCCUUUGCAACCCAGGCUACCAUACUCUUUGCAAGAAUAUCCGGUAUCUUUUCCGGGCAAAAUGAAUUGAGUUGGCACUUCCUGAAAUAUUUUUAUUUUUAGCUUCAAAUAAUUUUGCUCCUAAAACAAAUUAGUUACUUAUCCUCUUCUCACCAUGCCCUAAUUAUUUUUAGCUUUAUUCUAAUUUUUUUUGUUACCUUGAAUUUUGUCUUGAUUUGAGAGUUUGGUAUAGAAUACUUGUUUGCAGACUGGUAAUCUGCAGUUUAUUUUGUUUUUAAAAAACUCUGUGAAGUUUACUGUUGUUUUAAAACUCAUGGAAUAUUAACAAAAAAUAACCUAAUAAUAUUCUUCGAGGCUUAAACUUUGGUUAUAGUCUAUGUCCUAGCCUAGCUUUUAUGAUAAGCCUGUUGCAUUUUAAAGGUGCUUAUUGAUUCACAUGUCUUUCAGUAAAAAAUCUUUUGAGGAACCCAGACUUUUGAAAGCUAUUUAAUUUGCAUGUAUUUGGUCAUUACAGGCUAAAACUGAAGAAUGAGUUUGGAAAUUGGUUCUAUUAGAAAACACUGUUUGCACAUCCAAAUGUUCCCAGUCAAGAUUUCCCAAUAGUGGCAGUGAGAAAGAGAGGCAGAGAGAAUUAGGAUACUUGGGUUCAAAUUUUAGCUUAGUCACUGAUGGGCUGAUUGAGUGAGAAGAACUUAAUCACCUGCAAAAUGAAUUGCUUACAGUAUUUUGAUCUCUAAAUACACUUUUGAUUCUGAUAUUUAAUGAUUUUGUAUUACAAAAUUGGGCAGAAAACGCAUAGCUUCAUAACAAGCAAAAAAUUUUACUGUUAACACAUCAUACUUAUUUUAGAGUAAAUUUGAAGGAGGUUGAUGUUUUGGAAUUUGGUUGGAGAGUUAUCCAAAAGCAAUGUUUCCCUGACUCAACUACAACCAAUUACACACAGUGGCCAGUAGGAAAAGGAUUAAGUUGUCCAGACAAAAUAUAAUGGUAACAAAAAAUAAUCUUGUGCUUUUGACAUCUUUCUGUUUACUUGUUUUUGUCUUGUUCUAAUGCCCCCUGAAUUACUAUUUUCUAAAAAACAGUCUCAUCUAAAAUAAAACAUAGUAAUGUGUUUUCAAAUGAGACAUUUUAUUGUAGUUACGAUUUCUUUUGUAUAUUUUCCUAAUGCAGACUACAAUAAAUACACUAAAAUAUUUCAAAUGGUUUGCUUGUGUAUAUGCUCUUAAGUCGUCUUUAUCCCACUUUGGGAAGCAUAUGCUGUGUUCUGAACAGUUUUAACUUUAUAUAUCAGCAUGACUAAGUCCUUUCAACAACUAUCACGCAAAGACCACGGAGAGCAGAACUAUUCAGGAUAUCAAGAAAUGAACACUAAUGAAUAGGAAACAAUGAACCCUAAUUUUAGGAAGAAAUUAGUUUUGCAAUUCAGCAUUGUCAUUUAAAGUGGAAUUGUGUCUCGUAAAACUUCUGUAACUGCCAUACUUGUUGCUAUCAGUAAAUUCUAUGAAGUCUCUAUUUUACACGACAGCAUUUUGAAAUGUAAUUGCUACAGUUUUAGAUAUUUCUAAGGCCUGAAUUUAUUAUAACAGGCAAUUUUUGAAAAAUAUACCAGAUUCAAUUAAAAAAUGGCAAUAAUUUCUCAUAAAAACCUUCAAAACAUUGAAAUCUGUGUUUUAUAUUCCAGGGAAUAAAAACAUAAAAACUUUACUUUGGACUUAAAAAAAAAAUUCAUUCACUCUCAAUUCCCCGCUUCUUUGAGAUCCUCCCGACAGGGAAAUUGUCAGAAGAAUUCCUUAAUACCUUCAGGCACUGUAAACUCCACAUAUGGAUCUUUAAGUCUGAAAAUGACAACUUAGAUUUUCGUUGAAAGAUAUACCUGAAAGAACUAAAGUAAACAGAAAGAUGUCAAAAGCACAGGAUUUUUUUUGGUACCAUUAAAUUUUGUCUGGAUAUUUGUUGGUGUUUUAGAAGUUAAAACACUUAGUCCCGUCUCCACUGGCCAGACAACAAAAGUUGUCUAACUUUUGGAGGCACUUUCCCUACUGCCUAAGCAUGCUAAGGCAUUGCUUAGCAUGACCAGGAUGCUUAAGAACUUGAAAUUCACAAAGUUGAAAAUAGAGAGUUAUGGCUCUUUUAAUAACUGUCACUUUAUCCUGAUUCUCAGUCAAUAUCCAAGCACAAUGUAGAGUGUGGAUGAACUUCAAAUGCUCUGGAACCAGCUACUGCUUUGAAGGUCAAACUCAGUCAUAUUUAAAAUUUCAGCAAUAUCACACUACUGGCAAUUGUUGGCUCAAUGAGACCAACUGCUCUCCUGACCUGGUAAGAACCAAGUGCCCACAGCCGCUUUCCUGACUUAUGAUUCUGUAUCUGGUAGCUACCUUUUUUCUCCUUGAGUAUUUAACGCUCUUUAAUUUUGCACUUUUGCAUUUCUUUGACAGUUGGCUAGCAUCCUUUAAAAAUUCUAGCCUAAUUUAGACCAAAAAGUACUAUAUAUUUUUGGAUAUUCUUAACCCGUUAGGUGCUUAGGGCUUAUUUGUUCAGGAGUUCAACCAAUAAGCCUUCCUCAGUGCUUUUAGCUUUUUACUCCAGGAAGGAAUUAGUUUGAAUUGCUCCAAAAUUGUCUUCUUUUUAUUUUCUCUUUCCUUUCCUAUGAGUCUGUAAUUUAGUUCUGCUGACACAGUUGAUUAACCCCAUACUGGGGAGUUGAUUAAAAACACUUUCUAAAAAUGUAUACUCCUAUUGCUGGUAUUAGUCAGCAUUUUUUUUGGCCUAUCACUUUUUAAGUUUCAGUUUAUCAAAAUCUUUCCACUCCAAUAAUUCUAAAUGGGCACACUUUAAAAGCUACAUACCUAGUUCUUUUUAAUAUAGGCUAUUCUUACGGCACUCUCUCUAAUGUACCUCCUAUAUUAGAAUCAUUCCAGGGAGCAGCAAGUGGUCUUAAAGACAUCUAUAAAGCCAUAUAUGAGCCAGGAGCUGAUGUGAACAAUAAUCACAAAUCUAUGAGCCAAGUUUGUUCUUCUCUUUGUGCUUAGGGGACCAUUCAGUUGUGCGACAGAUUCCCUCUUGAAGAACACUUCCUCAAAAAAAUUCUUAACCAUUGUCAUAGACUGAAGGAAGCUGCUCGGGGUCAUUACGUACUUUGUACUCUCCAGUUAACCUAGACACCAAAGCCAUUCCCACCAUCCUACUUCUGUCUUCUUGGAAACUUUCAAGAAGACGUGAGCUUUAAAGACUGUUUCAGAGUUUACAUGCCUCUUUCAUUGUCACUGACAUUUUUCGGAUCGUGAUUAAAAAGGCCAGUCUGUUGCAAAUUUCAUAAAUUAGUCUUUUCUCUCUGUUCUGCUGUCAGGUUGCCCUUCUCACUAAUGUCACCACAUGUCACUGCUGCCCUAGCCAAUCUCAAUUUGACUGAAAGGGUUUGACUAACUUUUGGGUCCUGUUUCCUAUAAUUGGUAACUUUGCCAACUUUUUGGUUUUACACUGUUUCACUCAGAAUAUUAUUAUUCAGGCAAAGUUAAUUUUCUGUUCUAAACAAGUCUUUGAUACUCAGGGAUAUGAUUGAGAAUUCAAUUUUUGUCUUUAACAAAACAUCACAGUUUGCAAAACAUCCCCCUUCCCCUCUUCAGGUCUACUAUCUUAGUUUACUCCUCCAAACCCUGUAAGAACAUACCAUCAGCCCUAUUUCACAGAUGAGGGCCACACAAUUGUUUAGAAUCAAAGACUGUGUACCG
rnacentral:lncRNA from 10 species